UAAUGCACAGGAACAUACCUCAAAGUGGGGCAUAGCCACGGGAAAACCGUGGGGUAAUACCGCAUGUGCUCGCAAGAGCAAAGCCGCAAGGCGCUAUGAGAAUGGCCUGUGUCCUAUCAGGUUGUUGGUGGGGUAAUGGCUCACCAAGCCUAUGACGGGUAGCUGGUCUGAGAGGAUGACCAGCCAGAUCGGGACUGAGACACGGCCCGA
rnacentral:rRNA from 1 species